AUUGAACGCUGGCGGCAUGCCUUACACAUGCAAGUCGAACGGCAGCACGGGAGCAAUCCUGGUGGCGAGUGGCGAACGGGUGAGUAAUGUAUCGGAACGUACCUUUCAGUGGGGGAUAACGUAGCGAAAGUUACGCUAAUACCGCAUAUUCUGUGAGCAGGAAAGCAGGGGAUCUUAGGACCUUGCGCUGAUUGAGCGGCCGAUAUCAGAUUAGCUAGUUGGUGAGGUAAAGGCUCACCAAGGCGACGAUCUGUAGCGGGUCUGAGAGGAUGAUCCGCCACACUGGAACUGAGACACGGUCCAGACUCCUACGGGAGGCAGCAGUGGGGAAUUUUGGACAAUGGGCGCAAGCCUGAUCCAGCCAUGCCGCGUGAGUGAAGAAGGCCUUCGGGUUGUAAAGCUCUUUCGGCCGGGAAGAAAUCGUAUGGGUUAAUACCCUGUGCGGAUGACGGUACCGGCAUAAGAAGCACCGGCUAACUACGUGCCAGCAGCCGCGGUAA
rnacentral:rRNA from 1 species